rnacentral:rRNA from 1 species
UACGGAGGAUGCGAGCGUUAUCCGGAUUUAUUGGGUUUAAAGGGUGCGUAGGCGGACUGUCAAGUCAGCGGUAAAAUACGGGGGCUCAACCUCCGCCCGCCGUUGAAACUGACGGUCUUGAGUGGGCGAGAAGUAUGCGGAAUGCGUGGUGUAGCGGUGAAAUGCAUAGAUAUCACGCAGAACUCCGAUUGCGGAGGCAGCAUACCGGCGCCCAACUGACGCUGAAGCACGAAAGCGUGGGUAUCGAACAGG